ACUGAGAAAUGGUGCUGCUAAUGCUGGAAGUGCUAGUUUCACAUAUCUGCUCACCCAGAAGAGUAUCUUCUGGUAACAGUGUCUCUGCCCACAGCCGACAGAUGCCAUCGAGACAUGAUCUGUUGCAAAGUAUUCACCAUCAGGAGACCAUGACAUCAAAUGUACUGAUACUGCAGUCCUAGAGAACACAAGAGUAAAGUUUUAAACUCAUCUACAAUUUCUUGCUCCAGAGGAUGUCUACCAGCACAGUCAUUAACUGAGAAUAUGUUUAUGGAUUUUACAAUCUGAAGAUAGUUAGGUCAAUAACUACGUUGCCUGCAAACACCUGUUUUUGUGAGUACUAUUAUCACUGCUCUCCACACAAGCUUUUGAUACGGUCCCAUACAAUGCAGUCCCCUUACUAAAUGCCUAUCUGAACAUGAAAAUAUACAUUUUACCUGUAGAUGCAGUAAUAUCCAAAGUAGUCUUGCAAUUAUGCAGCUGCACACUAAAAUUAAAACUGGGUACAAAGCCUAGACUGAAAUAUUUCCAAGGCCAUUGCACAAAAGUGUAGUAAUGCAGCAUUGUCUUUCUGAGUCCUCAAACCUACAGCUGUUGUUCUGGGAAGCUCUGAGGAACUGAUACUGGGCUAUCAGUGUACUGCAAGCAGGACGGGGGUGGGGAACCAACUGCUACAAGGUGGUUACAGGGAGAUUAUCUGCAUAAGAAAAUACCUUAAGCUCCUUGAUGACUAGGCCAUGCAUUAUUAUACCUAGUAUGGAAGGGAACAAAUUAUUAUUAAAGUUGAAUAGAAUUAUUUCCAGAAAGUGGGAGUAAGAGAGACUGGAGAUACUGAAGUAACUUCUGGCACAAAACAGAAAAUCUUUUUGCUUUAUUGUUGUUCAACUUCUCAUAUUGGAUUCUGGUUGCAAAACAAACUCCGUGAGUGGUGUGGAAUGCUGGACAGUUCAGCAAGCAUUUGCAAGUAGGGUGAAGAAGAUGGAGACCAGGAUACAAAUGCCCACAGGAAGACAGGAGAACAAAAUCAGGUCCUGGAGUUCCAAUAUUUUAUUCAGAAUUCUAAUAUUCACAAGCAUUUUAAUCUCCUACUGCCUACUUCAAAGGGUGAGCAAUUAAAACAGCAAAGAUUCAUGUUCAGUUUUUUUCCAACAGUCUGCCUCAUAACUACUAAUACCAACAAACUAAGGGAUGCAAUUUAAAAUGUUGUUUGAUACAGUAAGGAAAAAAAAGGCACUGGUCCACUUAAAAUAAGAUCUUAAACUUUGCAAAUAGCUUUUUUUUUUCAUUGUUGGUAUUGAUGACGUGAAAAAGAAAGAGAUACAGACAUGUGCCUCAGAAAUAAUACAGAGAAAGGAAAAGACUAACCGACUUCAAUUAUGCUUACUGUUCUUAAACAUGCAUGUUUAUGUGUGUGUGUAUAGUUGAUAAUGGACGAAGCAGAAAAGUGUUAAUGCUUACAUAUGUCUGUUUACCCUGCAAAGGAAGAGAAUUUGUUUUUUAAAAUGUUGUAGUUUUCCUUCUUCUGUCCCCUAUCCUCACUUGUUAUUAUUGCAACAAAAGAACAUUUUCCAGGCUAAUUUUAACAUUUAGCAUUUUUAUAAAAUUAACUAAAAAGGUGGUUAUUAAGCAAAAGGGUGUUCUACAGUAGAAAGUUUUUUUUUUUUUUAAUUUUUCUUAAAGCAUCAUCAAGACAUGGAGAUCUGUUUCCUAAGUGAAAUCUUACUACUCUCUCUUCUGUUUCCUCCUCUUUGCCCGCAUAUGGCACUGCACCUAAGUGCCCUAUGUCAGUCCAUUGGAGUCCUCAGCCAGAGUACUUUCCCUGCAGGUAUCAGCCUGCAGCUCCAGGUUCUUUAAGGAAGCGCUGUCUCUUGGUUCUGAGCUCAUUUUCUUAGUGCAGAUACUUAUUUUGAGAACGUCUCUUGUUUCUUGAAGUUCUUUAAAAGUAUAUUUGCCAUAAAACUUGAGUAAGUACAUUGUAUCACCACUUCUGAGAAAAGUCACGCCCUCAUUUCAAAACGCGUUCGUUUUUUCACAUUUACAGUCUCCAAAUUUUUCAACAGAUCAAUGUACUUUCCUGUACUGAUAGUUACUUCUACAUAUCACCUUGUAUUAUCUAAAUACAGGCUUCCCAUUUGAUUACUUUUAUGAGGUUUUUCUAAUUAUCUCAAUAUAUUAUCAUGCUUAUACUAAAACAGAACAUGUCUCAGUCAAAUCCUCUUUUUAAUUUCUCCUUUCAUUCCUUAAGAGGGCUUAAAUAGAAGCCCCAUUACACUGACAAAGAAUAGGAAAGUGUAGUAAUAUUUGUAAUAUUUAACAUCAGUAGUUCCUUCUGAAGGACUCAGCUGGUAACACCUUCAAGGAGAUCCUUCAUGUCAGCACAGACCUCUCCUGCCAGAAGAACAGUGGCCACAGAAUUCGUGGCAACAGACUAAUCAUCUGCACAGCCUGAGGGAAGGGAUGGAAAACUGGUAAGCCACGCAAAAAGGAAAGAUGGAAAGUAAGAUGCUGAGAGAUGCUGUAAUGGAUCAGCAGUGCAGAGGCCUUAGAUAUACAGUUAUAAGCAGUCACUGAAUGAAACCAGUGCAGCAAAACCACCCACAUGGCAUACCUGCCAACCUCCAUUUCCAAUGUCACUGGUAACUUUAAAGAGAAAAUUAAAUGGAUUUGUGAAACUGCCAGAAUGCAAGGAUGACUUGCAGGAUCCCCAAGCAGCUAAUAAGCUGUGGUUUGCCAAUGUUUGCUAAAGAUCUGAGCCUACAGAAAUGAGCAAUGUCAAAGCUUUAAUUGAAUGCAGGAAUACCAGGCUUAGGCUCUGAUAUAGUAGGACACUGUGCUAAGAUAGGCGAAACCAAACAUGGUUUGAAAAAUGGAGGUAGUUUACAACCUUUAAAAAACAUACUGGCUGUCAGUUACACUACAAAGUUCAGAUAACAUAUGCCUUUUCUGGUUAGUCAGGGUGCGCAUGUUGUAAGACCCCUUUGCAUAGCGAUCAGCUCUGACCACCUGUAACUUCUGUAAACUCCUUUGUGGAACAGGGUUAGUAGAAGCUGCAGAAAUGAAAACACGAAGCCCUGCUCCCAGCAAGUUGGAUAGUGCACUGAAUUGCUACCAGAAUGAAACAAGAAAGCUGUCAUUCAGUACUAAAACAAAAACAAUGAAAAAAUGACAAACUGCCUUGUCCUAGCACCUAUUUCUUUGGAUUGUUUCACUUCAUGGAGUCACUAAUACCUAUUUUUUUAGCAAAUUAAAAAAAAAAACUUUAAUAGCAAAAUUAUUUAUUUAUCCUUUCUUAUGCUCAGAAUAACUAGAUGCCAUUCACCUAAAACUUUAAACAAACACUUUUAAGGCAGAAUGUAUCAUCAGCACUCCAGCUACUCUGACCUGGAAUUUAAAAGCCUCCACCAAAUACAGAGAAGGGAGAGAAAGCAAAGAGGAAAGUUAUAGCUGUGGAUGUCCAGGAAGUGCACUCAUUGUCAUACCCAUCCCUUUAGUUCCUUCUUUAACAGUUCCUUCUUGGACAUAGCAGCCAGAUAAGCAAGUGAGGUCCGUUAUAUGCAGCUCUAUAGUUAAAACAUGCUACCACGAUUCUACUUUUUCUGUUUCUUUUUGUAAAAUAACAAAAUGCAAUGAGUACAAGGAAAAAAAAAAAAAACUGUUCUCAGAAAAGUCUUAUGUGAGCUGUAAUUUAUGUUAUUAUUCAUUUUUGAUGAUAUCAAAACUAUUAUGAGAAAUAGCAUAAAGUUGUCUUUUAUAGUAUUAGACUUUUCAAGUUGUUACAGCAAAAGGAAACAUGUUUGAAUACGGGUAUAUUACGGUGUAAAUACCAAAGGAGGCCCUUUAAUAUCAGCAUGGCUGCACAGCAGCAAGACAAGGAAAGGAAAAGAUGGCACCUUUUAUUCCUUAUGAAUUUCAGCACUCAAUACCAAAAUUAGACAUCUGUGGUAAUGUGAAGUAGGCUUUAAAUGCGGGACAAGUCAGCUGUCCUGGGCUAGAAACGAUGCUGUACAUCGUUUAUUUGGUUUGUAGUUAUUAUCUUGCAAACGUUAACAGGGAACCUAGUGAGACAAUGUAUUCACAGCCAGCCACGCACUGCUCGGAUGCCGUGUGCCGAGCACUGCAGCAGCUGAUGGCUGGCUACAAUCCGACAAGCACACCAUAAGCUGAAGAAGGGAAAACUGCCAUGGCAAUUGGAGGAAAAAAAAAACCCACCCCGUGGGUGAUGAACGCAUUUAUUACGCGAGUUCCUAGACUCCUGAAAUGCACUUCAUCUCUCUCUUUCCCUCCUCCUCCGAGGCUGCACUUGGCAGAGCAAUCUGUGCCUCGGCAGCAGCGGGCGGCCCCCCCAGCCGCGCACCGCGUUACAAAACCGCCCCCGCAGCGAGGGGUGCGCAGCUCCCGACCCGCACCGCAGCCCCGCA